rnacentral:rRNA from 2 species
GGAAAGGCCCUUCGGGGGUACUCGAGUGGCGAACGGGUGAGUAACACGUGGGUGAUCUGCCCUGCACUUUGGGAUAAGCCUGGGAAACUGGGUCUAAUCGAAUAUGACCAUGCACUUCCUGGUGUGUGGUGGAAAGCUUUUGCGGUGUGGGAUGGGCCCGCGGCCUAUCAGCUUGUUGGUGGGGUAAUGGCCUACCAAGGCGACGACGGGUAGCCGGCCUGAGAGGGUGACCGGCCACACUGGGACUGAGAUACGGCCCAGACUCCUACGGGAGGCAGCAGUGGGGAAUAUGGCACAAUGGGCGCAAGCCUGAUGCAGCGACGCCGCGUGAGGGAUGACGGCCUUCGGGUUGUAAACCUCUUUCAGCACAGACGAAGCGCAAGUGACGGUAUGUGCAGAAGAAGGACCGGCCAACUACGUGCCAGCAGCCGCGGUAAUACGUAGGGUCCGAGCGUUGUCCGGAAUUACUGGGCGUAAAGAGCUCGUAGGUGGUGUGUCGCGUUGUUCGUGAAAACUCACAGCUUAACUGUGGGCGUGCGGGCGAUACGGGCAGACUUGAGUACUGCAGGGGAGACUGGAAUUCCUGGAGUAGCGGUGGAAUGCGCAGAUAUCAGGAGGAACACCGGUGGCGAAGGCGGGUCUCUGGGCAGUAACUGACGCUGAGGAGCGAAAGCGUGGGGAGCGAACAGGAUUAGAUACCCUGGUAGUCCACGCCGUAAACGGUGGGUACUAGGUGUGGGUUUCCUUCCUUGGGAUCCGUGCCGUAGCUAACGCAUUAAGUACCCCGCCUGGGGAGUACGGCCGCAAGGCUAAAACUCAAAGAGAUUGACGGGGGCCCGCACAAGCGGCGGAGCAUGUGGAUUAAUUCGAUGCAACGCGAAGAACCUUACCUGGGUUUGACAUGCACAGGACGACGGCAGAGAUGUCGUUUCCCUUGUGGCCUGUGUGCAGGUGGUGCAUGGCUGUCGACAGCUCGUGUCGUGAGAUGUUGGGUUAAGUCCCGCAACGAGCGCAACCCUUGUCCUAUGUUGCCAGCGGGUUAUGCCGGGGACUCGUAGGAGACUGCCGGGGUCAACUCGG